UAGCUUGUCCCACUAGCAGUCGGUGAGAUUUACUCACAACAAAAAGGGUUAAUGACAUUAUUUUCAUGGAAACAUGUAUUAAUUCUUUGUAAAGUGUUUAAAUUGUGUUUUCACUUGGCCUUAGGAGUGUUAUUUUGAGUGUAUUUUAAUGUCUGUACUCAGGUGUUUCCCUCUGUGAUCCAUCCCCUUCAGAGCUGAGACACUCAAGACUGAACAGACUGCACAGUUUCUGUGACUGAGCCUCCAAAACACCUUCUUUGAAACCACACAUGAUAGAAGGGCUUUAUAUUUGCAGCAGCACUACUAAAGUUGGCAGGAAUGUUGCUGCAGGAAAACAUCCCUGGAGAUCACCAUCAUUGUCAGACUGACUGUGCCUCCUCUGUGCAGUGUCAAGAUCCUCCCUAAACGCGUGUUCCUCAGCUAUCCUGCUUCUGUGCUGCUUGCCACACAUCAAACACUGGCCGGGUGACAGGGAGGAUCCACUCUGAAGUCACUGGACAUGAUGAGGAUCAUAUGGGAAUUUAUUUUUUGAUAGAAACAUUGUGCUCUUUGAUUACAGGUUUUAAAUGGACAGAAUGACUGCCUCUUUCUGAUCAACAGGCUAAAGGAUUGUUUUCAUUGUUAGAGCUCUGUA